rnacentral:misc_RNA from 1 species
AAGUCGUAACAAGGUUUCCGUAGGUGAACCUGCGGAAGGAUCAUUACAGAGAACAAUGCCCUCCUGGGUAUAUCUCCCACCCAAUGUUUACACUACCUUUGUUGCUUUGGCAGGCCCGUCUUUAUUGACCACCGGCUCAGGCUGGUCAGUGCCUGCCAGAGGACCACCAAACUCUAUUAAUAUGUCGUCUGAGUACUAUACAAAUAGUUAAAACUUUCAACAACGGAUCUCUUGGUUCUG